AUUUCCUCUAAGUAUUCUCUCAUCAGGAAAAAAAUCUGUUCUAAUCAGUUUAAUAUCUGUUACGUCCUGCAUCACAGGACUAGAAUAUUGAAAUCAUUUUUGGCUCAUGAUGGACUGCUAUGAUCUACCUUUCUCACAGGAUGCUUUCUCACUUUUGAACUCUAUUGAAGUUAGUAAAUGCUUC